CGGACCGGCGCACGGGUGAGUAACGCGUAUGCAACUUACCUAUCAGAGGGGGAUAACCCGGCGAAAGUCGGACUAAUACCGCAUAAAGCAGGGAUCCCGCAUGGGAAUAUUUGCUAAAGAUUCAUCGCUGAUAGAUAGGCAUGCGUUCCAUUAGGCAGUUGGCGGGGUAACGGCCCACCAAACCGACGAUGGAUAGGGGUUCUGAGAGGAAGGUCCCCCACAUUGGAACUGAGACACGGUCCAA
rnacentral:rRNA from 1 species